GUGCUCAGCCCAGCAGGACCUUUAUUAAAAUUGAGACACUACAGAGGAGAUUAGCAUGUCCCCUGAAUCCACUGUCCAGUGUGAAAUGAGGAGCAGUGUU
rnacentral:snRNA from 1 species